CCUACGGGUGGCAGCAGUGAGGAAUAUUGGUCAAUGGACGAGAGUCUGAACCAGCCAAGUAGCGUGAAGGAUGACUGCCCUAUGGGUUGUAAACUUCUUUUAUAUGGGAAUAAAAUGUUCCACGUGUGGGAUUUUGUAUGUACCAUAUGAGUAAGGAUCGGCUAACUCCGUGCCAGCAGCCGCGGUAAUACGGAGGAUCCGAGCGUUAUCCGGAUUUAUUGGGUUUAAAGGGAGCGUAGGUGGAUUGUUAAGUCAGUUGUGAAAGUUUGCGGCUCAACCGUAAAAUUGCAGUUGAGACUGGCAGUCUUGAGUACAGUAGAGGUGGGCGGAAUUCGUGGUGUAGCGGUGAAAUGCUUAGAUAUCACGAAGAACUCCGAUUGCGAAGGCAGUUCACUGGACUGCAACUGACACUGAGGCUCGAAAGUGUGGGUAUCAAACAGGAUUAGAUACCCCAGUAGUC
rnacentral:rRNA from 1 species